GGGUUAUCAGAAGGCAUGUCACGGGGCCCAUAGUUCACCAAUGUUUAUGGCAAGACAACGCCAGCUGGAUACAGUCAAUACGUGGCAGAAGUUUUGAAAAAUCCAGCAAAAGGUCCAGAGUAUACCAUCAUGGCGACCGUAACGUCCUUUCGCUUCCCCCUCGUGGCAGCGAUUAUCAUGUGUACAGUUCAGACUUCACUUCUGUAUCUCACGCCGCCAAUUCCGGCUAGAGUGCGCAGCUGCCCCGCUGUUUGCGAACAACUUCAACAUGAGAAUGGUACAACCACGGGAAACGCUGAAAAUACGACAUCUACACAUACCACUCUUAGCAUCCGUUUUGCACGUGUAACAUUGGAAGGCCCUGACUUUGAAUAUCAAUUUUUUGACUUAGCGUUGUCUUUGGUCAGCCCAAAUGCUCGUGCUCGUUUGCGCGAAAUGGAGAACGUUGUCGACAGUAACGACAUCGUCUGGGAAGAUGUCUUCGAGGGUACCAAAUCAAUGCUAGUGGACCCGCCUCGUAUGCACGCUCUUUUCGACGUCACACAUCUCUUGGAAGCCUACGUCAAGCAGUCACGUGACAUUAACCUAACUACAGAUUUGUAUACUUUGUGGUGGCUCACCGACGCGGUGUUCAGGGAAACUCACGAUCGGGUACAGAUGACGCGUCAUGGUAGAACUCAAGCGAUGGCGUUUGCCUGGGCACAGACUAGAGAAGUCUUUGGGAACAUGCUGAACUCUCACUGCAACGUUGUUUGUCACCGUCAGUACGUCAUCGACAAAUUCAAUAUACCGUACGAUUCUUUGUAGCAACACUGUAACUUCCAUUGCUGCACGUUUAACACAAGAAAUCCUGAUUGAUACAGUGAAAUAGAAAGUCAAGUUGUUCCUGUGCUGUACUUGUGUCGUGGUGUUGGAUUUGUGGAGGAUUGGGUCAUGGAGGACGGUCACUUUGACCUGUGGGUCGUGGAGUACGGUCACUUUGACCUGUGGGUCAUGGAGGACGGUCACUUUGACCUGUGGGUCGUGGAGUACGGUCACUUUGACCUGUGGGUAGUGGGCGAUGUACUAUCGCUGCUGCAUUAACUUUCUGCCAGAGCCGAGUUAAAUCAUAUUUUAUACCCAA